CAAAUAAAAUGGCCGAGUCCCCGGUCCGGGCCGGGGUACGGGGGAAAAAAUUACACGGGGUGAAUCCGCCAAUCUGCAAGGAGGUGAAAUUUAAGAAAUGAGCUGCGAGAAGUGUGAAGUACGAUGGGGUUGGUUCAUCCCACCUCUCACCUCCCACCUCUCACAUCUCAAUCGCGGUAGGGUACCCUCAACCCGAACCCAUCAGCUAACCCCGAAGGCCUCAGGAGGGAAAAA
rnacentral:sRNA from 2 species